rnacentral:rRNA from 1 species
UAGGGAAUUUUCGUCAAUGGGGGGAACCCUGAACGAGCAAUGCCGCGUGUGUGAAGAAGGUCUUCGGAUCGUAAAGCACUGUUGUAAGUGAAGAAUGCCAUAUAGAGGAAAAUGCUAUGUGGGUGACGGUAGCUUACCAGAAAGCCACGGCUAACUACGUGCCAGCAGCCGCGGUAAUACGUAGGUGGCAAGCGUUAUCCGGAAAUCAUUGGGCGUAAAGGGUGCGUAGGUGGCACGAUAAGUCUGAAGUAAAAAGGCAAACAGCUCAAACUGUUGUAUGCUUUGGAAACUGUCGAGCUAGAGUGCAGAAGAGGGCGAUGGAAUUCCAUGUGUAGCGGUAAAAAUGCGUAGAUAUAUGGAGGAACACCAGUGGCGAAGGCGGUCGCCUGGUCUGUAACUGACACUGAUGCACGAAAAGCGUGGGGAGCAAAAUAGGGAUUAGAUACC